UUCCAGACUCCUACGGGAGGCAGCAGUGGGGAAUAUUGGGCAAUGGGCGCAAGCCUGACCCAGCAACGCCGCGUGAAGGAUGAAGGUUUUCGGAUUGUAAACUUCUGUCGCGAGGGACGAAGAAUGACGGUACCUCGUAAGAAAGCCCCGGCUAACUACGUGCCAGCAGCCGCGGUAAUACGUAGGGGGCAAGCGUUGUCCGGAAUGACUGGGCGUAAAGGGAGUGUAGGCGGCCUUGUAAGUUAGAUGUGAAAUCCUACGGCUUAACCGUAGAACUGCAUCUAAAACUGUGAGGCUGGAGUGCAGGAGAGGUGAGUGGAAUUCCUAGUGUAGCGGUGGAAUGCGUAGAUAUUAGGAGGAACACCAGAGGCGAAGGCGACUCACUGGACUGUAACUGACGCCGAGGCUCGAAAGCGUGGGGAGCAAACAGGAUUAGAUACCCCGGUA
rnacentral:rRNA from 1 species